rnacentral:lncRNA from 1 species
GCAUAUGUAUGGAAUCAGACAUCCACAGAUCACUCUACUAAAUUGGAAUGGAGGCAGAAGUGGAAGUGGCUCUCCGGGCAUGGCAUGGGACGGUAAUGCUGGCCAAAGAAGAGAUGAACUUACAGAGCCAGAGCCCCCCUUGAUACUUCUGGUUUCUGUGGCAGAGAGAGUCAGGGCCAGCUGAUGAGGAUUACACAGUAGGGAAGAGAGAGCAGAGAUGAAAUUGACUGUUUCUCUAGGCAAGAGAAGCACCUGGUUCCAAAGAAUGGAAACCAGGGAUAUGCAGCCUGGCUAUUAUUUUUAUAAUAAACUUCUGAUUUGGAGAUAAAUUAGGGUCCACAUGUAAUUAUAGGAAUACAGACAGAUACCAUAUACCACUUACCUAUUUUUCCCCAUUGGUAAUAUCUUGCCAAACUGUAGUAUAAUAUUACCAUUAGGGUAUUGGCAUCGAUAUGGGCAAGAUACAGAACAUUUCCAUCCUCACACACAUUCCUCAUGUUGCCCUUUUACAGCCACAUCCACUUUCCUUCCAACUCCACCCCUUCCCU